rnacentral:ncRNA from 1 species
GUGUUGUAUGAAAGGAGAGAUGUUUAGCGCUCUCCUAAACAGAGAUGAAUAAACAGAUGUAAUAGGCACUGUCGUCUGUUGACGGCAUUUACCAUGUCAUGA